rnacentral:rRNA from 1 species
AUUGAACGCUGGCGGCAUGCCUUACACAUGCAAGUCGAACGGCAGCGCGGACUUCGGUCUGGCGGCGAGUGGCGAACGGGUGAGUAAUACAUCGGAACGUACCCUGUUGUGGGGGAUAACUAGUCGAAAGAUUAGCUAAUACCGCAUACGACCUGAGGGUGAAAGUGGGGGACCGCCAGGCCUCACGCAGCAGGAGCGGCCGAUGUUUGAUUAGCGAGUUGGGGGGGUAAAGGCCCACCAAGGCGACGAUCAGUCGCUGGUCUGAGAGGACGAUCAGCCGUACUGGUACGGAGGCACGGCCCAGACGCCUACGGGAGGCAGCAGUGGGGAAUUUUGGACAAUGGGGGCAACGCUGGUCCAGCAAUGCCGCGUGGGUGAAGAAGGCCUUCGGGUUGUAAGGCACUUUUGUCCGGAAAGAAAUCGCGCUGGUUAAUACCUGGCGUGGAUGACGGUACCGGAAGAAUAAGCACCGGCUAACUACGUGCCAGCCGCCGCGGUAA